AUUGAACGCUGGCGGCAUGCUUUACACAUGCAAGUCGAACGGUAACAGGCCGCAAGGUUCUGACGAGUGGCGAACGGGUGAGUAAUGCAGCGGAACGUGCCCAGUCGUGGGGGGUAACUACUCGCAAGAGUAGCUAAUACCGCAUACGAUCUAUGGAUGAAAGCGGGGGACCGUAAGGCCUCGCGCGAUUCGAGCGGCCGAUGUCAGAGUAGGUAGUUGGUGGGGUAAAGGCUCACCAAGCCAACGAUCUGUAGCUGGUCUGAGAGGACGACCAGCCACACUGGGACUGAGACACGGCCCAGACUCCUACGGGAGGCAGCAGUGGGGAAUUUUGGACAAUGGGCGCAAGCCUGAUCCAGCAAUGCCGCGUGCAGGAAGAAGGCCUUCGGGUUGUAAACUGCUUUUGUACGGAACGAAACGGCUCUGGUUAAUACCCGGGGCUAAUGACGGUACCGUAAGAAUAAGCACCGGCUAACUACGUG
rnacentral:rRNA from 1 species